rnacentral:tRNA from 1 species
GCCUGGGUGGCUCAGUUAAGCAUCUGACUUUGGCUCAGGUCAUGGUCUCACAGUCCAUGGGUUCAAGCCCCAUGUCAGGCU